UAGGGAAUCUUCCGCAAUGGACGCAAGUCUGACGGAGCAACGCCGCGUGAGUGAAGAAGGAUUUCGGUUCGUAAAACUCUGUUGUUAGAGAAGAACAGCGCAUAGAGUAACUGUUAUGCGUGUGACGGUAUCUAACCAGAAAGCCACGGCUAACUACGUGCCAGCAGCCGCGGUAAUACGUAGGUGGCAAGCGUUGUCCGGAUUUAUUGGGCGUAAAGCGAGCGCAGGCGGUCAAUUAAGUCUGAUGUGAAAGCCCCCGGCUCAACCGGGGAGGGUCAUUGGAAACUGGUUGACUUGAGUGCAGAAGAGGAGAGUGGAAUUCCAUGUGUAGCAGUGAAAUGCGUAGAUAUAUGGAGGAACACCAGUGGCGAAGGCGACUCUCUGGUCUGUAACUGACGCUGAGGCUCGAAAGAGUGGGUAGCAAACAGG
rnacentral:rRNA from 1 species